rnacentral:lncRNA from 1 species
AUGAAAAUGAACAUCCAUCAUUUCCUGUUCUUCUGCUUCUCAUCAGCACUAUUUGACGGAGGCGCUGGACUCGAUCAAUCCCAACUUUUUAAAAAAAUGAAAGGCGAAGAUUUCAGAAAUUCAUUCGCCUUUCAGGCCCCGACAGGAAGCAGGAUGUACCUGUGUAGGAAUGACUGCAAAAAGGAAGACGUCGUCGUGGAAACAAGCGGGAACAGAGCUGUGAGUGGCAGAUACACCAUUAGAUACGACAGGGCUGAGAAUAAAGUGGUGGUGGUCAUCUUGGGGCUGACCCAGUCUGACGCGGGGUUGUACACGGUCGGUGUGAGUGGGUCAUCACUCGGUCCGUACAGGUUCGAGAUUAAAGUUAAAGAAAUAUGUGAUAGAGCUAUCUUGGGCGAGCCCAGAGUCCACAGCGCGACCGAGGGAGGAAACAUCACAAUCACGUGCCACUUGUUUUCACAGCAGCUAAACAGGAAGUUCUUCUGUACGGAGGAAUGUAACACUUUUCUCAUUGACACCAAUAACGUGGAAGCUAUGAGUGACAAAUACAUCAUCAUAUACGGGAGCAAUAUGUUUAAAGUGACCAUCACACAGCUGACCAAGUCUGACUCAGGGCGGUACCAGUGCGGCGUGGGAAGACUGGGUGUAAAUGAAUGCCAGAAGUUUGAGAUCACAGUGACAGGAGGUGUCAGGUUGCGUCCGGUUGUUUAUUCGAUUGUGGUUAUCGUGCUGUUGGUCGUUUGUUUACUACUCGUCCACAAAUGGAAGACAACAAAUGUUGACUAUGUGAACACCAGGGGAACUGAGAGAAACAUGGAGAUUUCCAUCUAUGACGACUGUUGUGCAGUGUCCACACAUGAAGAACCAGUCUACCAAGAACUUGAUCCGUGCAGCAGUGAUCACAACGUGUACAGUUCACUGGAGGAGUAA